rnacentral:rRNA from 1 species
GCUAAUACAUGCAAGUCGAGCGAAUGGAUUAAGAGCUUGCUCUUAUGAAGUUAGCGGCGGACGGGUGAGUAACACGUGGGUAACCUGCCCAUAAGACUGGGAUAACUCCGGGAAACCGGGGCUAAUACCGGAUAACAUUUUGAACCGCAUGGUUCGAAAUUGAAAGGCGGCUUCGGCUGUCACUUAUGGAUGGACCCGCGUCGCAUUAGCUAGUUGGUGAGGUAACGGCUCACCAAGGCAACGAUGCGUAGCCGACCUGAGAGGGUGAUCGGCCACACUGGGACUGAGACACGGCCCAGACUCCUACGGGAGGCAGCAGUAGGGAAUCUUCCGCAAUGGACGAAAGUCUGACGGAGCAACGCCGCGUGAGUGAUGAAGGCUUUCGGGUCGUAAAACUCUGUUGUUAGGGAAGAACAAGUGCUAGUUGAAUAAGCUGGCACCUUGACGGUACCUAACCAGAAAGCCACGGCUAACUACGUGCCAGCAGCCGCGGUAAUACGUAGGUGGCAAGCGUUAUCCGGAAUUAUUGGGCGUAAAGCGCGCGCAGGUGGUUUCUUAAGUCUGAUGUGAAAGCCCACGGCUCAACCGUGGAGGGUCAUUGGAAACUGGGAGACUUGAGUGCAGAAGAGGAAAGUGGAAUUCCAUGUGUAGCGGUGAAAUGCGUAGAGAUAUGGAGGAACACCAGUGGCGAAGGCGACUUUCUGGUCUGUAACUGACACUGAGGCGCGAAAGCGUGGGGAGCAAACAGGAUUAG